AUUGAACGCUGGCGGCAGGCCUAACACAUGCAAGUCGAGCGGAGCUUCGGACGGGGGAGUAAUGCCUAGGAAUCUGCAUGUUAGUGGGGGAUAACGUCCGGCAACGGGCGCUAAUACCGCAUACUAUCAGAUGAGCCUAGGUCGGAGUAGCUAGUUGGUGGGGUAAAGGCCUACCAAGGCGACGAUCCGUAACUGGUCUGAGAGGAUGAUCAGUCAAACUGGAACUGAGGCACGGUCCAGACUCCUACGGGAGGGCAGAGGGGGGAAUUUUGGACAAUGGGCGAAAGCCUGAUCCAGGCAUGGCGCGUGUGGGAAGAAGGUCUUCGGAUUGGAAAGAACUUUAAGUUAGGAGGCGUUGCGCACAGAAGAAGCACCGGCUAACUUCGUGCCAGCCGGCGCGGUAAUAC
rnacentral:rRNA from 1 species